rnacentral:siRNA from 1 species
UGGUUCUGAUUGGUCGUCUUC